rnacentral:rRNA from 1 species
AUGAAGAUUAAGAAGCUGAUGCCCAUGGAUGCUGAAUCCAGGAGGUUGAUUGAUUGGAUGGAGAAAGGUGUCUAUGAUGCCUUACAAAAGAAAUAUCUCAAGACCCUUCUCUUCUGUAUAUGUGAGAAGGAGGAAGGCCCAAUGAUUGAAGAGUAUGCCUUCUCAUUUAGCUACCCCAACACAAACGGGGAGGAAGUUGCAAUGAACAUGAGUCGCACAGGGAGCAAAAAGAAUAGUGCCACAUUCAAGUCAAAUGCAGCAGAAGUCACUCCUGAUCAGAUGAGGAGCUCUGCUUGUAAGAUGAUCAGAACGCUAGUUUCACUUAUGAGGACCUUGGACCAAAUGCCAGAGGAGCGAACCAUUCUAAUGAAGCUGCUAUACUAUGAUGAUGCUACACCUGAGGAUUACGAGCCUCCCUUCUUUAAGGGUUGUGCUGAGAAUGAGGCCGUAAAUAUAUGGAACAAGAACCCCUUGAAGAUGGAAGUGGGGAAUGUCAAUAGCAAGCAUCUUGUGUUAGCUUUGAAGGUUAAGAGUGUCCUUGAUCCAUGUGAUGCUAAUGAUGCUAACAGUGAUGAUGACAAGAUGAGCGUGGGUCAUGAGUCAGACCAAGAUGACUUUACGGACACCGAGGUUCACCCAUCUGAAGUGGAUCGUUACGUCAUUGCUCCUAAUGAUGGUAAUGGCAAAGGUCAAAGUGGUACAAACUCAGAUGAUGAAACUCAAGAUGCUGCUCAUGAGGAAGAGCUAACAGCUCAAGUAAGAGCAUGGAUAUGCUCAAGAAACAUGGGUACUGUUAAUGCUUCAGAUGUCCUUUCCAACUACCCUGACAUAUCAUUGGAAAUGGUGGAAGAUAUUUUGGAGAGGCUACUUAAAGAUGGUUUACUUUCGAGGGCAGGCAAGGAUGGUUAUGCUGUUAACAAGAUUACUGAUCCCAAAACACCCUACAUAAAGGAAGAGGUUGCCAUGCACAAUGUUUCACCUACUGAAGGAACCAAGAACAACAGUGGAGAUCUGAUGUAUAUGAAGGCAUUAUACCACGCACUUCCAAUGGAUUAUGUGACUAUAGCUAAGCUUCAGGGCAAGCUUGAUGGCGAAGCCAACCAGAGCACAGUCCGAAAGUUGAUGGACAAAAUGGUGCAAGAUGGAUACAUUAAGAAUUCAGGCAACAGAAGAUUAGGCAAAGCUGUCAUUCACUCUGAAGUCACCAACAGAAAGCUCCUUGAGAUAAAGAAGAUACUGGAAGUUGAUAUCACUGAAGACAUGGCAAUUGAUACCAACGCAAGGCCUGCUGAGUUUGAUCGCAGAGAUCACCAAACGGCUGACCAGGAAAUGAAAGAUGGCUCGACAAACGGCCGCUUCCAGUCAGUUGGAUCUGAUCUUACCCGCACACGGGAGCUGCCGGAGCAGCAGCAGACUAACAAGGACCCAAGCAGGACUCCCACAAGCAAUCGCGAGUCGGCCACGUCCCUGGAGAGUGGGGUGCUCGGGCAGAGGAUCAGGAAGUCUCUGGCUGGCGAAGAGUCGAUGUGCAUGCCGGACAAGCGGACCAGGAAGGCCAGCAUGGUGAAGGAGCCGAUCCUCCAGCAGGUCAAGCGCCAGAAGUCCUAG